GAUCUUAGCGGCGGACGGGUGAGUAAUGCUUAGGAAUCUGCCUAUUAGUGGGGGACAACAUCUCGAAAGGGAUGCUAAUACCGCAUACGUCCUACGGGAGAAAGCAGGGGAUCUUCGGACCUUGCGCUAAUAGAUGAGCCUAAGUCGGAUUAGCUAGUUGGUGGGGUAAAGGCCUACCAAGGCGACGAUCUGUAGCGGGUCUGAGAGGAUGAUCCGCCACACUGGGACUGAGACACGGCCCAGACUCCUACGGGAGGCAGCAGUGGGGAAUAUUGGACAAUGGGGGGAACCCUGAUCCAGCCAUGCCGCGUGUGUGAAGAAGGCCUUAUGGUUGUAAAGCACUUUAAGCGAGGAGGAGGCUACUUUAGUUAAUACCUAGAGAUAGUGGACGUUACUCGCAGAAUAAGCACCGGCUAACUCUGUGCCAGCAGCCGCGGUAAUACAGAGGGUGCAAGCGUUAAUCGGAUUUACUGGGCGUAAAGCGCGCGUAGGCGGCUAAUUAAGUCAAAUGUGAAAUCCCCGAGCUUAACUUGGGAAUUGCAUUCGAUACUGGUUAGCUAGAGUGUGGGAGAGGAUGGUAGAAUUCCAGGUGUAGCGGUGAAAUGCGUAGAGAUCUGGAGGAAUACCGAUGGCGAAGGCAGCCAUCUGGCCUAACACUGACGCUGAGGUGCGAAAGCAUGGGGAGCAAACAGGAUUAGAUACCCUGGUAGUCCAUGCCGUAUACGAUGUCUACUAGCCGUUGGGGCCUUUGAGGCUUUAUUGGCGCAGCUAACGCGAUAAGUAGACCGCCUGGGGAGUACGGUCGCAAGACUAAAACUCAAAUGAAUUGACGGGGGCCCGCACAAGCGGGGGAGCAUGUGGUUUAAUUCGAUGCAACGCGAAGAACCUUACCUGGCCUUGACAUAUAAAGAACUUUCCAGAGAUGGAUUGGGGCCUUCGGGAACUUACAUACAGGUGCUGCAUGGCUGUCGUCAACUCGGGUCGUGAGAUGUUGGGUUAAAUCCCGCAACAAACGCAACCUUUUCUUAUUUGCCAGCGAGUAAGGUCGGAAACU
rnacentral:rRNA from 1 species